GUUGUUUUUUCAUGGGACUCUAUCAGAUAAGGAUUCCCAAAUAGUUGAGUCAUACUAGGAGAAUGUCACCCACCACUAUAAAUACAGGAUCAUGGGUCAUUAUUCAGGUCCGUUUUCAUUAUUUUUCAAUUUAUAAUUUCUUGCAUAUAAUUUCUUUUCUGACUUAAGCAUCGGAGGAAAGACGAGAACAUACCUUGUUGCCUUUGUUUUAGGUAUAGGAAGACUAUGAUCGUGCUCAAUCAAAAUCAUCAAACCAACAGGUAUGAUCUUUGGUAGCAUCAGAACCCAUUAUCCAUAUUCACUGUCUCAAAGAUUCCUUUGAGCGACCACAAUUGUUUGAUCCUAUUGCAAAGAUAGGUAUAGCUAAUUGGACGACCUAAUAACUUAACAAUCAACGAAUUAUUCCAGAGUUCUUGUAUACGCUUUUUCUCCUCCUUAGUCAAUUGUAUAAAAAGAACCAUCAAGAAAAUCCUCCAGAACAUCGUCGUUCGAGACAUUCCCAUCAUCCUCAAUUUUCCCUUCAUCUUCUGCCUCCAAGCCCAUAGGGUUUAUAGCAUCGAUCAAUUUAUUUUUAUAGGAAAUCUCAACUUGAGUUCUCCUUUCAAAUUCAUGAUUUUGUGUUUUGGGAUGUACCUAUACUCAAAUCCUCAUUGCCAUCGGAUCCCAGAAGGACCCUUUUUUGUCCUGCCCUCACGCCUCUUAUCUCUAUCGGAAAAGUAAAUGCAGUUGGCGGCUCGUCGAUCAUCUCGUCCUCAUCGCCGCUGAAUUGAACCUUUGGAUUUUAUUUUUUUUCACCAAUUUCUCGCCUACCCGUUUUCGGGAAUAUUGUUUAAUAAUUUUCAAGGAAUGGGAUGAAGAAUCGGAUCUGUGUGUGGAAAGAAAGGGGGAUCAUUCUAGAGAGAGAGAGGGGCUUUUUUGGAAUCGUAGUAAUGUAUUGAUUUUGAAUAUCAAAAAUAUUUGUAUUCAAGGUAUAUUCAUUAAUAUUAAUUUUUCUUUACAUAUUAUGUUACUUAAUUAUUUGUGCAAUACAGUAGUAAUACGUGUUCUUUUUUUUAUUGUUCCCUAUAUAAGAAUAGCGUCACUUGGUUAGUGCACUGUUCUUAGGAAUCCGUGC
rnacentral:lncRNA from 1 species